AAAUAAAGCUGGUGUAAAUCAGCAUAGGCUGAGUGAAGCCAAUGGGCCUAUGCUGAUUUACGCCAACAGAGAC
rnacentral:pre_miRNA from 14 species